rnacentral:tRNA from 1 species
AAGGGCUUAGCUUAAUUAAAGUGUCUGUUUUGCAUUCAGAAGAUGUGAGUUUAUAGUCUUGCAGUCCUUA